rnacentral:misc_RNA from 1 species
GCACGUGUGCAAAAGCACGUGUGAACUUUUCUCACCGAUAAACAACGUCAAUCGAGAUAGCACGCUGUAUCCGGCACAAACAAAGGAGCGUGGAAAUCCAGCAUGCCUGUCGAUAUUCUUCGCAAAGUGGUUUAUCGUCUACGAAGAUCGCGCAGUUCAAUUUGAAGAUAACACCUGGGUCUCGCCGAGAAAAAGAGAAACUUGCGUCGAAGGAAAUUACCGAAAGAGAGGCAGCUAGCACGAAGUUGGUACUCGGGAUCUGCGAUAAAAGAAAAUCGACGACUUUCGUUGCAAUCGAUCCGGAUAACCGUAAAACGAGAUCACCGCGCGAGAUACCGCUUCUUCUCGUUCUGACGAUCGAGAAAACAGCUUGCAACGGACGUGCAAACAUCGCAGGACCUGUGUCGCGGUGUCUCUCAGUCGCGCGUUACUUCGUAUCGUCGCGAUUAACAUCGUCGCACCGAGAAACUUUGCCAACUCGCGGGAGAUUCUCUGGCCGAUGCAGAAACUCGUCGGUAACCAGUUCGCUGGAAACUCCGCCGAACACCACGUACCUUUCUUCUGUUACACCUAGAUUCCUGUCGAUUAACGGGGCCGAUCCACGGAUCCCUCCUCUUUCUCUCUCACGUUGCGCGCAACACGCUCUUUACGCCUUUCGUUCGAAACGCUACGUAGCCUGCGCUUGGUCGUUCCGAUAGAUCAGCCACAUGGAACACAGAAAUAGAAACGCUGGUAUCCGAUGUCAGUGUGGACGUCGUGACUCUUUGAACCGUCCCAUGUAGGUUUUCCCGCUCGCCACGAUCGACGUCCAACGAUUCAUACGAUUCGCAGAACGCGAGGACACGACUUGCGCGUCGAUCGAGUUCGCUCGCGACACUAACUCGUGCCUCGCCGCUUUUGCACGCUGGAGAACGUAAUCUCGCGUAUACCGGUUAACGAUACUCUGUGCUGGUAUCCCUCCUUUUCUGCUCGACUGUUCGCUGUAUUCGUCGUCGCGUACACUGUACACGAACUCGCUCUUCGUUUCUCUGCUUACCGCCAUGCUGCUUUUCCUUCGUUACUCCGGCCUAUGUUCAUGCAUCUUCUAUCUUCUACCUUCGGUGGGUUCGCCAACGCGUAAUUAUUAGGCCAAUCUCCUGCGAGACGUUGCAACGGAACACGCAUUUUUCUCGCGUCUUCCUUUCGGUGAAAUUGGGUAUCCACGUUUGUGCGUUCCGUAGGAUGAUUGCAAUACGGCGAAUGACUUUAGACGACGGAUAAAUCGUUG